UACGGGGGGGGUAAGCGUUGUUCGGAAUUACUGGGCGUAAAGGGCUCGUAGGCGGCCAACUAAGUCAUACGUGAAAUCCCUCAGCUUAACUGGGGAACUGCGUGUGAUACUGGAUGGCUUGGAUUUGGGAGAGGGAUGCGGAAUUCCUGGUGUAGCGGUGGAAUGCGCAGAUAUCAGGAGGAACACCGGUGGCGAAGGCGGGUCUCUGGGCAGUAACUGACGCUGAGGAGCGAAAGCGUGGGGAGCGAACAGG
rnacentral:rRNA from 1 species